GACACAGUGCCAGAGUGGUUAAUGGGUAUGACUCGAAUACAUUCCUUGAUAUCAUAUGGCUUCGGCCGCACAGGUUCGAAUCCUGUCUGUGUCG